UGCAUGAAGGUGCACCUAAUGCUUCCUGAUCCAUGAAUAUGUAAAUACUGUUACGUGACGCCAGUGAUGAUAAGGUGGCCAGCAGAACUUUUUACUCAUAUAAAGUGUUGCGACUCCUUAUCUGAGGUUUUUGUUCAUUGAAGUUAACUAUACUGCAAUGUGACUUAUUGUCUUGACUUCGUUGUACUCUAUAGUAUGAGAAGUACAGGACUGCACAGACAGAUUUGCUCAUAUGUUUUGUAAGUGUCCGUCUGUGGCAUCAUCAUGCCACGCAACUCUUUGUACAGUGAGGGGAGGUAGGUUCCUUGGGAGAAUGAAAAAGGAGAUUGGUGUUAUGCAUCAAAAGCUUUUCUACUUUUAACCAACUGUCAAGUGACCAUGGCAAGACUAAUGGAAAACUUUGCAACCACUUACGUACCACAGCAUGUUACAAUAUCACUGUCAUUGUCCGCGCUAUGUGGCUCUAGCUGCACUCUUCUUUAUAUCAUGCUUUCACAUUGUAAUUCCAGUAUUUUUUCUCUUUUUUUUCCUUGUGUUUCAGUUGCAAGUCUUCGCACAGGUGCAUAACAGGACCCUAACCACGGAUCAUGAAGAGAAUGGCGUAGUCCAGGGCACAGAGGGGGACAAUUGCAGCAGAACCCUUUUUCUUAAACAAGGACACUUCUAAUAUGCAUAUUGUUGCCACAACUUCCACCUCUGCACCGUGCUGCGACUGAAGAAUGUCGAGUAGUCCUACUUUUGGACGGAAACUACAUGAGCACACUCUCGAAGAACAGCUCUCAGCUUCAUCUAUGUGCUCCAUUAUUAUUCCUGUA